AGGCCCAAGGAAGCAAAAAAAAAAAAUAAAGGGGUUAGCUAAGUCGUCUUCUCUAGCAGAGCGCACCAGCUAUGGAUUCAAAGACGCCGCAACGGCGUCGUCGAAGCAGUGUCAUCCAAAAUGGCACCAUUACCAGAGAGAAGAAGCCCAAACGUAGCGAGGUCCUCGCAAAGAAGAAAGCCGUUGAGCAAUCCAUCAAAUCAGCACGUGCCGAAAAGGAUCACCUUGCUUCCUUCCCUGAGUUCCGCCACUUUGUCAAUAACGGUCUAUCUAUGUGUUUGAAGUCAGGAUGCGGUGAUACACUAUCCUCUCCUGUUAAGCACUAUGUUCAGAGCCUCCUUAAGCUAAAUAUGGAAGGACCCUAUGGAUCUGAGUGGUUGGAUGAAGAAAAGGUGAAGCGCAGAGAAAUGGUUGCUCCAGAAGCACACUAUAUAUUUGUGCACGAGGAUGCCAAUUCAGUUGGUGAUGAGACAAGAAUGAUGUUGAGUGCAGAAGAGGCUUCAACUAGUUGUGUGGAAGAUAGUGGCCCCUUAGUUGGAUUUCUACAUUACCGUUUUGUUCUGGAAGAAGAUGUACCGGUCCUUUAUGUGUAUGAGUUGCAGAUUGAGCCUCGUGUCCAAGGAAAAGGGUUAGGGAAGUUUCUAAUGCAACUAAUUGAGCUUAUUGCCCAAAAGAAGUGCAUGGGUGCUGUCAUGCUAACUGUUCAAAAAGCAAAUUUACUAGCUCUGAAUUUCUAUCUAAGUAAGCUGAGAUACAUCAUAUCAACCAUUUCGCCUUCAAAGAUGGGGAUUGAGAAGAGUUACGAAAUUCUUUGCAAAACAUUUAAUGACGAAGCGAAAACUAUUUUGGAGGUACAGCUCCUAUCCGCACCAUUAGAUUGAUUUUAUCAGAUAGUCUAUCACUGAUUUCACAAAACACACUAAUUUACAGCCAUCUGGAUCACUCAGGUUUAAGACAAUAUAUUAAUUUUUCCUUUUCAGACGAUGGAAAACAGAGGCUUUUGAUAUAUGGUCCAUUAACAUAUACUGAUCAGUUCUUGCGAAUGCAUUACCACACAAGAAUGGAGUUUCUGCCUGAUUCUGCUGUUGAGUUUUGUUAAGGGACAUGCUGAUCUUCCAAUUUUGGGGGGAAUCAAAGAUAAUGUAGUGAACUUUUAGCCAACGGAAGUUCCUUUUAGUAAUAUAUCAUGCAUGUUUUUCUCCUUCUUCCCCUCUCUAUACAGAUUUUUUCAGCAGUUUAGUGUACAUGUUGGACCAACCCCAGUCUAAUAGGAAAAGAUAGUGGUUGAUGAUGGUGUAUUCUUGGGGAAAGACAGCUCAACAUAGCUUCAAUUUUUUAUUUGGUUCUCCAAUAAAUAAUUCAUUGGAAAGUUUUUAAGUAUACCA